CCUACGGGUGGCAGCAGUGGGGAAUAUUGCACAAUGGGGGAAACCCUGAUGCAGCGAUGCCGCGUGAGUGAAGAAGUAUUUCGGUACGUAAAGCUCUAUCAUCAGGGAAGAAAAUGACGGUACCUGACUAAGAAUCCCCGGCUAACUACGUGCCAGCAGCCGCGGUAAUACGGAGGGGGCGAGCGUUAUCCGGAUUUAUGGGGGUGAAGGGGGGGGUAGACGGCAGGGAAGAUCUGAAGUGAAAUCCCAGGGCUUAACCAAGGAACUGCUUUGGAAACUGUGCACCUGGAGUGCAGGAGAGGUAAGGGGAAUUCCUAGUGUAGCGGUGAAAUGCGUAGAUAUUAGGAGGAACACCAGUGGCGAAGGCGGCUUACUGGACUGUAACUGACGUUGAGGCUCGAAAGCGUGGGGAGCAAACAGGAUUAGAUACCCGAGUAGUC
rnacentral:rRNA from 1 species